rnacentral:rRNA from 1 species
AUACGGAGGAUGCGAGCGUUAUCCGGAUUUAUUGGGUUUAAAGGGCGCGUAGAUGGGUUGUUAAGUCAGUUGUGAAAGUUUGCGGCUCAACCGUAAAAUUGCAAUUGAUACUGGCAGCCUUGAGUACAGUUGAGGUAGGCGGAAUUCGUGGUGUAACGGUGAAAUGCUUAGAUAUCACGAAGAACUCCGAUUGCGAAGGCAGCCUACUAAACUGCCACUGACAGUGAUGCUCGAAAGUGUGGGUAUCAAACAGGAUUAGAUACCCUGGUAGUCCACACGGUAAACGAUGAAUACUCGCUGUUUGCGAUAUACUGCAAGCGGCCAAGCGAAAGCUUUAAGUAUUCCACCUGGGGAGUACGCCGGCAACGGUGAAACUCAAAUGAAUUGACGGGG